rnacentral:rRNA from 1 species
UACAGAGGUCUCAAGCGUUGUUCGGAUUCAUUGGGCGUAAAGGGUGCGUAGGCGGCGCGGUAAGUCGGGUGUGAAAUCUUGGAGCUUAACUCCGAAACUGCAUUCGAUACUGCCGUGCUUGAGGACUGGAGUGGAGACUGGAAUUUACGGUGUAGCGGUGAAAUGCGUAGAUAUCGUAAGGAAGACCAGUGGCGAAGGCGGGUCUCUGGACAGUUCCUGACGCUGAGGCACGAAGGCCAGGGGAGCAAACGGG